UACAGAGGUGGCAAGCGGUGUUCGGAAUUACUGGGCGUAAAGGGCGCGUAGGCGGCUUGGUCAGUCCCGUGUGAAAGCCCUCGGCUCAACUGAGGAACUGCACGGGAAACUGCCUGGCUUGAGUUCGGGAGAGGGAAGCGGAAUUCCAGGUGUAGCGGUGAAAUGCGUAGAUAUCUGGAGGAACAUCGGUGGCGAAGGCGGCAUCCUGGACCGGUAUUGACGCUGAGGCGCGAAAGCCAGGGGAGCAAACGGG
rnacentral:rRNA from 1 species